rnacentral:lncRNA from 1 species
UGCAUGUUCAAUAAAAAAUGGAUUUACACAGAAAUGCUACUUAACUUUGAAAUAUUUCUACUUGCAUACAAACUAUUAUUCUUACGGUAGUUCUAAAAGUUUCCGCAGCAACGCGCGGGGUAUCAUCCAGUAACAGUUUGUUUGUUCACCCAAAAGCCCCAUGUCCCAAGUUGGAUCCGUCCCUGUCGACGAUACGAGUGCUGAUGCUGCAGCGGCGCCGGAGGAGGAGAAGAAGAAGAAGAAGAUGGCCGGAGCCAUAUUCGAUACGCAGCUCAUCAUUCGCGAGCCGGUGACGGGCACGGGGGCCGCCAGCCACCGCACGACCACCACCGGGUUCCCCUUCUCGGUGUCGCUGAGCCUCGCCGCGCCGCCGGCGAUCUCCCACGUCCACCUGCACCCGAUGGCGGCGCCCCACACCCUCAAGCACGGCCUCUCCUCGCUCCUCGCCGCGGACGCCCACCACCUCCUCCUCUGCGUCGUCGUCCCCGUCAAGACCAGGUACUACAGCUACGACCACCCGGAGGAGUUCUUCGUCUACACCGCCGCCUCUGCCCUCACCCCUACGCUGACGCGCCUCCCUGCUUUCCCCGACGGCCGCCAGCGCUCGUCCGGGGACAUCGGCAUCUUGACCCAUGGUGGUGGUGGCUUCACCGUUUCAUCUUUGCAGAUGUGGAUGGUGGGGGAAGGAACAAUCACCGUUAAGGAGCUAGAGGAAGGAACCGCAAUCAUUGAGGAGUUUGCCAAGCUCACCUUACUCCAUUGUUCAGGCGGCGACAGGGAUAACAACAACAGCAGCAGCAACAGCUGGGUUGUCAAGAAGCUAGCUCUGCCUCCUUUUGACUCAGAUUAUGGGGGGCAUUCUGGACUGAUAAGCAAGUGGAGCAGCCAAAUCGCCUUCUCCCACGGCGGCAAGGUCUAUUGGGCUAGCUACAACAUUGGCCUUAUCUUCUGUGAUGUCUUGGAAUCUCUGCCCAAGCUCCAAUUGAUCAAGUUCCCUUUUCCUGAGAGCGAAAUUCAACUCUUGUUCCAUGUUAAGACUGACAAUUGUGGACCAACUGCGUCCUUCAGGACAGUCGGUGUCUCUGAUGGGAAGAUCAAGUUCGUAGAUGUUGACAAGUGCCGCUCCCGGCCCUCUGCCAUCGUUAUCAGGGCGUGGACACUGCAAAUGCCACAGAUGGUAUGGAAGUUGGAUGAUGUGCUCGAUGUCAACGGCCUGUGGGGGUCAGCAUCCUUCAAGAAAUACGGUUUGCAUCAGUGGGUACCAGAGUAUCCUGUGGUGAGCUUACUAGACCCACACAUUGUGCACUUUGUGCUGCGCCAACCUAUAUACCAUGAGCAGGUCUGGAUGAUCACAGUUGACAUGAGGGCCAAGUCAGUUGUGUCGUGCAAGAACUAUCCAAACGGUGAGAAGGGGUAUGAAUACAAGGGGCUGUUGUUCAACCCAUAUUACAUCUCUAGUGAGCUCUCAAAGUAA